UCGGGGACAGCAGCAGCGAUGACAGCAGCAGCAGCAGCAGCAGCCGCCCCGGCGGCAGCGGCGGCGGCGGUGGUGACCGGGUCCCCGGCGCGCGUGCGCGGCCCAUAGCCCCAGAUCAAGAUGUAGGACUCCUGACUCCUUCUCUAGCACCAUGUCUAUCUGAAUGCCACCAUGAUGAUAAUGGACUAAACCUCUGGACUGCCUUGAGACUUCAGCACAACUGACUCCAUGAUGAAAGUACCAUUCAGGCUGUAAAGUUCAACACGUAGACAACACCACCGGCCAAAACUAAAACAAAGGCCUAGUCCAUCAAAGUCCAUAAUUCUAGGAAAGUCUCUAAAUGUACUAACCUUGCUUUUAACUUCUGUAGUUCCACUUCUGACUAAUUGUCCUUGAUAAACUGAAGUAUGUCAACGUAGAACAAAGCUUUUGUGCUUAAGAGCUCACCCUGAGAAAGGGUUGGGACUACACUGAGAUCCCAAACAUCCAUUCUAUUAACCACCAGCUGGUUAAUAAAGACUUCCUAUUGGCUGAAACCCAUGUCCAAACAGUCUUCUUUGGUGGCUACCCCACAACAUUUUGGUGCAGACAAAUAUAGAGACAUUGAAAGUCACAUGCUGAAAAUAUGGAAACACAAAAAAACAGGACCUUAAGUCUUCAAACUUCAAGGACAGAUGACCAGAUGACCAUUUUAGAAUACACACACACACACACACACACACACACACACACACACACACGAAACUUCUCUUGUGUUAUACCAUUGAAAUGCAAAGGAUUACUUCUUUAAUUAUACCUAUAAUUAUAUGUAAAAAUAUUUAUAAUUUUUACCGAAUUCUUAAAUAUUAUUAAGGACCUGCCUUAAUAAUAUUCCCAGGGACCCAGAAGAGAAGCUACAAAUGGCGAGAAUGAUUUUGGGGAAAAGAAUCCGAGUACACCAAGCUCUUACUUAGUCCAUUUACUUUAUUCCUCUGGAAUAAGAUUCUAUCUACACAGCUACAGUUCUGUACUCAAGACUAGCUCCUUUCUUGUCUGAUUUCUCACUACCUUUAUCUGCUGUCCCCUCUAAGUUCUAUCUUAAUUCUCUCAUCUUAGUUCUGCCCCAUCUUGGUCUUUCUCAUCUUGUUCUUACCCAUCUCAUUCUUCCCCAUCUGGCUCUUCCUUAUCUUCCAUCUCAUUCUCCAUCUGGUUCUCCAGUCAAAAUCCUCCAAAUCCUCUCUCAGUCUCUGAGGUUUGCAGUUAUAUAUACACAUGCAAUAGCAGUGCUCUAGCCAAAGCAAGAUCACCAGGCUUGAAUUCUUACAGGGGCAUAAAGGCAGACCCUGUAAAGGCUGUUUUCCUCAGGCAGUGACCAUCAGGCUUUCUUUUACAACCCAAAAGGGGAGUGGUAAAAGAGGAGGUCAAUUGAGAGCUAAAGUCAGUUAAUAUAUCAGAAAAAAUGGAAUUUAUGUGCUCAGUCUACAUUCCUAGAAGUGGUUAGGUUAAAUGUUAGGAGUCUGUACUGUUAGUAUAAAUACCACUAAGGCUGUAUAAGAAAGGAGGGUCUCAGUUUAAAUUGCACAAGAAAUAAAGCUAUCCGCCUGACCUAAGAGACAGGCGUUGUUUCCAUAAGGAUAUUACCUUAGUUCAUGAGAUCGUUUGGCUUUGGAUGCUUGAUAGGCAUUUUAGAUAAAUACUGUUAGGAGUUCUUGGAAGCACACAUAGCAUACAAGUAAAUCAUUAUAGGUAUCAGCUAAUAUAUACAAAAGCUAAAAUAUCACCAAGACUCCUUAAGCCAUGGCUUGACCUUCGGAAAAGUCCUUGACUUUUCCAAGUAGUAGCUUUUGUAAUAGUAGUUGAAUUCCAUUUUCCUGCAGCUUGCAACAUUGAAGUAAUCUACUUACUGUCUAGUUACUAUCCAUCUCUAUUAGACUAUGGUUGUUGCUUAAGCACCUUUGGUAUGAGGAGUUAUAGUGGAAACUAAUUUAUGCAUUGUGUAGAAACUCUGGUAGAGAAAAACAACAUUUAUUUCCUUAGGAUAAAUACCAAUAGGGAUUGAUGGAAACAGAACUAACUUCAUGUGUGCUAAUGAAAAAACAAAACCUACAAAGAGAUGAGAUAUAGGUCAAACUCCCCAGAUGAAUAUAGACACAAAAAUUUUCAUUGAAAUACUUGCAAAGUAAAUUCAUGAACACAUACAAAAGAUCAUACACUGUGAGCAAGCUGGCUUCAUUCCAGAGAUGCAGAAGUAGUUCAAUAUACAUAAAUUAGUGCAUGUAAUAGCCAGAUAAAUAGAGUCAAUGACAGAAACCACAUGAUCAUCUCAUUAGAUAGACAAAAAAGCCUUUUGCACAAUCCAACAUCCCUUCAUAAUAAAAGCCACGUAGAAUCUAGAAAAAUGGCACAUAUCUCAACAUCAUAAAAGUGAUACAUAACAAGCCCACAGCAAGCAUCAUGCAAAAUGGGGGAGGGGAGCAAAAAAAAAAAAACUCCUCAAAGCAUUUCCACGAGUCAGGAACAAGGCAAAGAUGUCCACUCUCUCCAUUCCUGUUCAAUAUAGUGCUUGAAGUCUUAGCUGGAACAAUACGACAAGAGAAGGACAUGGAGGGUAGACACAUAAGAAAGAUUAUUGCAGAUGAGAUGAUACUAACCACAAAUUAUCCCGAAGAGCCUACUAGGACAGUCUUUCAGAUGAUAAACACACUCAGUUCAGCCAUGUGGCGGGACACAAGAUUAACACACAAGAUGCGGUAGCCUUCCUGCAUACCAACUUUAAAUGUGCUGAGGAAGAAAUCAAGGAAACAGUCAUUCACAACAAUCAAAAAAAAAAAAAAAAUCUUGGAAUAAGUUAACCAAGGAAAUGAAAGGCAUGUACAAUGAAAACUUUAAGACACUCAGAAAUUGAAGAAGAUUCAUUUAGAAGAUAGAUAGACCUCCCAUGUUCGUGGAUUGGUAAGAUUAAUACUGAGAAAAUGGCUAUCCUAUUAAAAAAAAAAAAUCUGUCAUUCAACACAAUCGCCAUUGAAAUUCCAAUGCAAUUUUUGCAGAAACUGAAAAAGGAAUCUCAAAGUUCAGAAGACACUAAAAUCAGAUACAGAUACGACAAUAAAAUAAAUGUAUCAGUCACUCUCUCUGAUGAACAUAGAUGCAAAAAUUCUCAAUUGUAAACUGAGUUCAAGAACACAUCAAAGAGUGUGGUGGUAUUGUGUUCCCCAAAAUAUUGUGUACCCUAAUAAACUUAUCUGGGGUCAGAGACAGAACAGCCACAAUAUUAAACAUAGAGGUUAGGCAGUGGUAGCACACACCUUUAAUCCUAGCAUUCCAGAGGCAGAUAUCUACCUGGAUCUCUGUGUGUUCAAGGAUACAGCCAGGCAUGGUGACUCACACCUUUAAUCCCAGGGAGUAAUGGUAGAAAGCAGAAAGGUAUAUAAGGCGUGAGGACCAAAAACUAGAAGCAUUUGGCUGGUUAAGCUUUCAGGCUUUUGAGCAACAGUUCAGCUGGGAUUCGUUUGGAUGAGGACUCAGAGGCUUCCAGUCUGAGAAAACAGGAUCAACUGAGGAACUGGUGAGGUGAGGUAGCUGUGGUUUGUUCUGCUUCUCUGAUCUUCCAGCAUUCACCCCAAUACCUGGCCUCAGGUUUGAUUUUAUUAAUAAGACCCUUAAGAUUCAUGCUACAAAAGAGCCCAUUCUUUCUGAUCAAGUUGGUUUUAUUACAGGGCUGUAGGUAUGGUGCAAUACAUGUAAUUCAAUAAAUAUAGUUCAGUGCAUAGAUAGACUCAAGGUUAGAAACCAUGUGAUCAUCUUAACAGAUGUACAAAAGACUUUUGACAAAAUCCAGUAUCUCUUCUUGAUAAAAUCCUUGGAGAGACUAGGGAUUAAAUGAAUGUAUUUCAACAUAACAAAGGUGGUAUCUGUGUAGGAGGCAUGGAGGUCCUUGUGCUCACAGAGAAACACUAGGGGAACCUAGAAUGUUAUAUGCACAGGAGCAUCCCUUCAAAGAAAGGGAUGUAUAACCUGUUAACCAGCCAGAAGGCUGGGAGCAGAUGUGGUUACUAGCCUAGUGACCUUUGCACUAUCUGUGUGGCUGAGACCAUAUAGGAUGCUCCCCUAGACCCUCAUCAAAAGCUUUGUUUUUCUCAAUUAACCUACAGAACCCAUCUUUAUGAAAAGAGUCAUAUGUACUUUAUAAAGAGUUUCGAUGUAGUCACAUCAGAUCUUUAUUUAGCUUACUUGUGUUUUAUUGUGCACACAAGACUGAGUUAAUUAUCACCAGGAGAGCUUUCGCCAAAUUGUGCUAUACUUAAAUAUGCCUAAAAUAAACUACUCGGGGUCAGACUCCCUAAGUUUGAACAAACUCUAGGUUCUUCUUAGUCAUGUUGAGCUGAACUACCUUCUUGCCCCCCAUACCCGCCCCCCACACAUACAUACAGAUUGUACUCGAAUACCCUCCACCUACCUACACACAUACAUACAUGCAUACUCAUUGCACUCACAUAAUCCCCCAUACAUACAUACAUACAUACAUACAUACAUACAUACAUACACACAUACAAAUAAAUAAAUGUUGAAAUUUUCUCAUUUGUAUUCAUUUUGUAUUUGACAGUUUCCUAUAAUGUAUUCUGAUUAUUCUUCUGCCUCUCAUAUUCCCCUCCUCCAUUUCUGUCAAACUCUCAUCCCUUCCACGUCCUUUCUCAGAUUCACAGCUGUUGGGUUUGUUUUGUGACCCAUUUGCCUUAAUCAGGACCAUUUUUGCAACUAUUGGAUUACAAACUCUCUUAUGGAGCGUGGUAGGGUCAUCAGAAAGUAUUCAGAUGAAGGCAAUGAUUGCCCUGCUUGCUGAAUUUAUUAAUAUCAAAUAGUUUAGCAGUGAGGGGCAGGGCCCCCAAGGUCCUGUUUUAUCCGUACCUGACUGCUGAUGGGCCCAUUCUUGUGCAGACCUAGUACAGACAUCCACAGUGAUUGUAAGUCCAUGAUUGCAAUGGCUGUGUUCUGCUCGAGAGAUGACAUUUCACAGCUCUUCUCAUUAUCUAGACCUUACAUUCUGUCCACCCUAUUUUUUUUUCAGUGUUCCCCGGGCCUUAGAGUAAAUGAUAUAAAUAUCUUGUUUAGGGCUGAGUACUUAUCCAUCUGUUAGUCUGAGUACCUUGUGUAGCCUUGAAUCUCUGCAUUCUCUGGAAAGAGGGGUUUCUCUGAUUACGUCUAAGGGUAGCGUUUAGUUAUGAGUACAAACAUAAAUACUUAGAAGGUUGUAGAUGAAUUUCUAAAUAAAU